rnacentral:rRNA from 1 species
GACAUAGGUGGCAAACGUUAUCCGGAAUUAUUGGGCGUAAAGGGUGCGUAGGUGGUUUAAUAAGUUAUUGGUGGGAAAACGGGGCUCAACUCCGUGGAAGCUAGUAAUACUAUUAGACUAGAGGACCGGAGAGGUUAACGGAAUGGCUCGUGUAGGGGUAAAAUCCGUAAAUACGAGUUGGAACACCAAAAGGCGAAGGCAGUUAACUAUUCGGUUCCUGACAUUGAGACGCGAAAGCGUGGGGAGCGAACAGG